rnacentral:rRNA from 1 species
UACAGAGGGUGCGAGCGUUAAUCGGAAUUACUGGGCGUAAAGGGCGCGUAGGUGGUUAGUUAAGUGAGUUGUGAAAUCCCUGGGCUUAACCUAGGAACUGCAACUUAUACUGACAGACUGGAGUACAGUAGAGGGUGGCGGAAUUUCCGGUGUAGCGGUGAAAUGCGUAGAUAUCGGAAGGAACACCAGUGGCGAAGGCGGCCACCUGGACUGAUACUGACACUGAGGCGCGAAAGCGUGGGGAGCAAACAGG